UCGAACGGGGGUAGAAAUACCCUAGUGGCGGACGGGUGAGUAACGCGUGAGAAUCUGCCUAGAGGUUGGGGACAACCACUGGAAACGGUGGCUAAUACCCAAUGUGCUCAUAAAGUGAAAGAUUAAUCGCCUCUAGAUGAGCUCGCGUCUGAUUAGCUAGUUGGUAGGGUAAAAGCCUACCAAGGCGACGAUCAGUAGCUGGUCUGAGAGGAUGACCAGCCACACUGGGACUGAGACACGGCCCAGACUCCUACGGGAGGCAGCAGUGGGGAAUUUUCCGCAAUGGGCGAAAGCCUGACGGAGCAAGACCGCGUGAGGGAGGAAGGCUCUUGGGUUGUAAACCUCUUUUCUCAGGGAAGAACACAAUGACGGUACCUGAGGAAUCAGCCUCGGCUAACCCCGUGCCAGCAGCCGCGGUAAUACGGAGGAGGCAAGCGUUA
rnacentral:rRNA from 1 species